UGUGAACGGCACUUGCACAUGGGU
rnacentral:ncRNA from 2 species